rnacentral:rRNA from 1 species
CAGCCGCCGCGGGAAUACGUAGGGUGCGAGCGUUAAUCGGAAUUACUGGGCGUAAAGCGUGCGCAGGCGGUUAUAUAAGUCAGAUGUGAAAUCCCCGGGCUCAACCUGGGAAUGGCAGUGGAUACUGGCUCGCUAGAGUGUGUCAGAGGAUGGUGGAAUUCCCGGUGUAGCGGUGAAAUGCGUAGAGAUCGGGAGGAACAUCAGUGGCAAAGGCGGCCAUCUGGGACAACACUGACGCUGAGGCACGAAAGCGUGGGGAGCAAACAGGAUUAGAUACCCGCGUAGUCCCUGUCUCUUAUAC